AAACAUCAGAGGAAACUCCUAGGGGAAAUUCCUUCUGCAUGCUCGAUCAGUUGUGCAGCUUCAGUUAAAGUUUCAGUCUGUAAGGCUGCAGAUGCCUACCUGUAAGUUGUUGGCAACCAAGGGGGAGAGUUGGUCUCCUUGUUCCUAUGGCAGCCAUGGACCCCUGUGCUUGGGUGGUCCUCCAGAGGCACUGACACAGAGCCUGAAAGGAAGCUCCAAUCUCUGAUCCACAGGUGCCUCCAGCCUGGCAGGACCUGGUUCUUCUGAUUAGCAGCAGUUCUUGCUUGAAAGUAUGGGGAGCCUGGGACUGAGGGCAAACUUCUGGGAGUCCUCUUUCCACUGAAAUGACUCUGAAAAUAAUGAAUGAGGGAAGAGAGAAGAAGAGAAGGCAGAAGAUGAGCAGAGCAGCUUUGGGUGUGCUUCAAUCUCUUGUUAUUCACGUGUUCUUUCAUUUGGGAGAUCGUUUACUCUGGGAACUCAAUGCUGAUACCAGCUUCUUUUGUCAGAACUGUCUUCAUACUUACAGGCUGCUGGAAGAGCCAUUAAACCCAAGCUGUAAUUCCCUUUGCCUUUGGGCACAAAGUGCUGCCCUUAGCAAUGACAAUAAUACAGGAUUGUACUCGCAAAGGGAAAGAAGGGAAGUCUCAGGAUAAGAUGUGAGGCCGGGUGAGUGAGCCCUGUGCCGCUGAUGGGUGGCACUGGGGAUUGUGUGUGUACUGCAAGCAUCACUGAGAAAAGUGCUUGAGGAGUUUGGGGAUCCAUUAAGUAGAGAGCAGGACUGUGUGCAUAUUGUUUUGAGCUUGGAUGCUUUAGUGGAGACAACCACAGCUCCAGAAUGCAGACUCAAAGCAAGUGUCAGCUCACUUUUUCAAAGAUGUGUGCUUCUAACCAAAUUAUACACUGUCCUUUCCCUCCCUUCCCAAGGUUAUCUCAUGUCAAGUUCUGGCAGUUCUUGUUGCUGCAUCAUCUCUGUCUGUUCUGUGACUCACUGCUCAAUGUGAGUCAGAGAGCCUUGUAAGGAGGGGAGUCUGCAAGCUGAUUUCUGUGUGUCCAAAUAACAGACAAAUAUUUGAAUUAUAGAUAGCAACUAACUGCUAAUUGGCCACAACGUAAGGCCCUUCUGACACUGUAAAUAUGGAAAAGAAUAGCUUGUUAUUUUUCACACCUGAAUGCCAGUCUUUUAAAAUGAAAAGCUAAUUCUAGCCUGGGAGGCAAGCUCUGUGUUUUAGUCUAGAGUGAUAGAGCGAGAACAAUAAAUGAACACUUAAGGUGAGGAGGAUUUCCCUGCAGCAAGUUUACUUGUGAUAAGUUAUACUGCCCUAUGGGAGACAAAAUUAAACUGUAGCUUUGAUUCAGAUCUCAAAGAAGUCUCAGCAGAAAACCUGACUGAAGAAAACAAAGCAAGAGACCACACUUUGAAUUGAGCAAAACACAAAUUAGGAAAAGCUUGUGUAGAUACUGUGCAUGUACAAGUG